AUGAAGGACAGCUGUCAGUCAUCCAGUUGGAUCGUGCUGCCCCCCUCCAGUGAGGAGCUGCAGCAGGGGAAGGCCACGCUCACGUGUCUGGUCAACAAGGGCUUCCCCUCAGACUGGAGUCUGACCUGGAAGGUGGACAGCAACAGCAGCAGGAGCCCCAGGGUGCUGGAGAGGGACGGGCUCUACAGCUGGAGCAGCACCCUGAGGCUCCCUGCAGACCAGUGGAGGAAGGUGGGCUCUGUGACCUGUGAGGCCACCCAGGGCUCCCAGACUCCACUCUCAGAGACACUGAGGAGAGACCAGUGUUCCCAGUCCUGACCUGACUCACUGGGACUCUGCUACUGGUUUUACUCUGCUAUUGCUCUCAGUCUGCACUCUGCA